GAUGAACGCUGGCGGCGUGCUUAACACAUGCAAGUCGAACGGAAAGGCUCCUGCUUGCAGGGGUACUCGAGUGGCGAACGGGUGAGUAACACGUGGGUGAUCUGCCCUGCACUUCGGGAUAAGCCUGGGAAACUGGGUCUAAUACCGGAUAGGACCACAUUUUGGAUGGUGUGGUGGAAAGUUUUUCGGUGUGGGAGGAGCUCGCGGCCUAUCAGCUUGUUGGUGGGGUAAUGGCCUACCAAGGCGUCGACGGGUAGCCGGCCUGAGAGGGUGUACGGCCACAUUGGGACUGAGAUACGGCCCAGACUCCGACGGGAUGCAGCAGUGGGGAAUAUUGCACAAUGGGCGCAAGCCUGAUGCAGCGACGCCGCGUGGGGGAUGACGGCCUUCGGGUUGUAAACUCCUUUCGCUAGGGACGAAGCGUUUUUGUGACGGUACCUGGAGAAGAAGCACCGGCUAACUACGUG
rnacentral:rRNA from 1 species